UGAGGAAGUCGCAAAUCUUAUGAGCUCCGGGACGGUGGCUGAUAAUCAUUUAUGUCUACACCUUAGCAGAAUUCAGACCCCUUUCAUCCUCCAACCUGGUGGUCUUUCAUUAGCUUUACAAAGGCGGUUGAGUUUGCGGGAGGGGCUAUUAUCAUUUACACUGUAAGCUAAAUGUCUCCCAAAGUUAGCAUGACCAAGCCCAGGAAUGACUAAGGGCAGUUUGGAGGUUAUACUGUUACAAUCUUUGCAAAGGUGUGUGGGUUUCUUUUGAGACAGAGUCUGGCUCUUUCACCCAGGCUGGAGUGCAGUAGUGUGAUCUCGGCUCACUGCAACUUCCGCUUCCCCAGUUCAAGGGAUUCUCGUGCCUCAGCCUUCCACGUAGCUGGGACUACAGGUGUGUGCCAUCAUGCCCAGCUUAUUUUUUUGUAUUUUUAAUAGAGAUGGGAUUUCGCCAUGUUGGUUAGGCUGGUCUUGAACUCCUGACCUCAAGUGAUCCACCCGCCUCGGCCUCCCAAACUGCUGGGAUGACAGGUCUUAAGCCACUGUGCCCGGCCUGCAAAAGUGGUUUUAAUAGGAUGAAUUUCACCAGAUUUUCCUUUGAAAGAAAAAAAACCGGGCACUUUACUCUUUCAUUGUCUGUGGCUUGGUGUGAUACUUAUCUGUAUAAAAGCCUUGCAUGGAAAAUAAUCAUUUUCCCCUUCUGUUUCUUCACAGGAGGACAGGCUGCGAGGGUCAUUUACUGUGUGAGAAGCCUGGGUCCUGGCUGUGGCCUGGUGCGUCCUGUAGCCCCACAGGGGUUAUGCAUUCGAAUCAUCGACAUUCAGUUUGCAGUUCUUUCUGGAGGCACACGCCGAGACCCCAUUGCUGGGCUUGGUCAGAGACGAGCUUUGGCCAAUGUCAAGGGGAUGCCAGGACGAAAGCCCGUCUGAGCAGAGGCCACCAGAGGCCAGUGUUAAAGAAAAAAGACGUCAUGACACUUGUUAAAGCUUGGUAAGGAAGACUUCGACACCAGGAUGUCUCUAGUAGGGACUGGAAUGGUCCAGGAAUUCCUGCUGCUCCAGGAAUGAGCAGGCGAGUGGCUGAUCCACAGCCCACCUGAGAUGCCAGCGUUGGGGCAUGUUCUGGGCAUGUUUGUUACUGCAACAAAGCUGACUGAUGCAGCCUCUGCUGUUGCUUACCUUGGUCGUGCAGGGAGAGAAACUGAGUUCGCCCGGCACAUUGAUUAUAAGAUGUGUGCUUCUGGGUGGAAAGGGGCUUUGGAGAAACACUGAAUUUAAAUAGAGUCCCUGCUGCAUGGAAGACGGUCACCUGGCCUGCCCUUCCUGAGCGCCGAAAAGCUCAUCUUUGUGUUGGUCAACAUAAAAACGACAAAAGCACUGAAGGUGUCAACUAAUUUUCAAAACAAAACCUCUAAGUACAGUUCAGUGAUAGAGUGAGAUGCGUUGGAUUUGAUGUUGUUUAAGCAUGCUGUGGCCUGCCAGUGGGGAGAUGUGCAGGGAAUUUUUACCAUUGCAGCUCAUGAGGAAAUAAAAUGAUCACCACAAGCUUCACUAUAUAUAGAGUGCUUCGUGUGUGUGUGUGCAUGUGUGUGCAUGCAUAUGUGUGCCUGUAUGUGUGUGCCUGUAUGUGUGUGC
rnacentral:lncRNA from 1 species